rnacentral:tRNA from 1 species
GCCCCCUUAGCUCAGGGGAUAGAGCAACUGCCUUCUAAGCAGUGGGCCGCCCGUUCGAAUCGGGCAGGGGGCGCCA